rnacentral:lncRNA from 1 species
AAAGAAGUGUAUGAGGACCAGAGAGGACACAGGUUGGGAGCCCGAGGGUUCAGGCUGGGAACAGGCAGCCAUUCUCAGCCACCCUGGCUUGCCCUCUCCCCUCCCAGGCCUGUUUGCUGAGCAGAGCCUGCAGACCUUGCAGCAAGAGCUGGCUUGGGAAUGUGACUACCGCAGAGAAGCCGCCUGUGCCCAGACCUUCAAGUAAGCUGACACCCCUGCAAGCUCCUGAGGGAUCCCUUCCCUCUCUCCUGGGCUGGGAUGAAUGUGGUGCUCUCCAGCCUCUGGCAGUCAGAACGGCAGACUUCCUUAUCCUUGCAUGGCCUCUGUCAAAUGCACAUCUGCUGUGGUCUCACAAAGAGGCUUGGCUGCUAACUGAGGAGGGGUCAGCCUUCUGCAUGGUACAGCAGGAGAACACCGGCUCCAGACAGAAAAAUAGUGUUAACAUCUGGGAAGUUACGGUCUCACUCUGUAGCUCUGACUGGCAUGGACCUUGAACUGCCUCUGUCCCCCAAGAGCAUAUGUCCGCAUGCCAGCUCAACUUUAAUUUACUUUUACAUUUUUAUUUAAACCAAAUAUGGAGAUAUACACCACUUGACAAUCAGAAGCAAGUGGAUUUCUGUGAGUUCAAGCCCAGCCUCAUCUACAUUAGGGAGUUCCGGACCAGCCAGGGCUACAUGGCUACAUGGUGAAACCCUGUUUCAAAAUAACAAUAACAAAAACCCCAAAAAAUUCUGGAAAAAAAAAAAGAAAAG